rnacentral:rRNA from 1 species
GUGAACGCUGGCGGUAGGCCUAACACAUGCAAGUCGAACGGCAGCACAGUAAGAGCUUGCUCCUACGGGUGGCGAGUGGCGGACGGGUGAGGAAUACAUCGGAAUCUACUUUUUCGUGGGGGAUAACGUAGGGAAACUUACGCUAAUACCGCAUACGACCUACGGGUGAAAGCAGGGGAUCUUCGGACCUUGCGCGAUUGAAUGAGCCGAUGUCGGAUUAGCUAGUUGGCGGGGUAAAGGCCCACCAAGGCGACGAUCCGUAGCUGGUCUGAGAGGAUGAUCAGCCACACUGGAACUGAGACACGGUCCAGACUCCUACGGGAGGCAGCAGUGGGGAAUACUGGACAAUGGGCGCAAGCCUGAUCCAGCCAUACCGCGUGGGUGAAGAAGGCCUUCGGGUUGUAAAGCCCUUUUGUUGGGAAAGAAAAGCAGCAGGUUAAUACCCCGCUGUUCUGACGGUACCCAAAGAAUAAGCACCGGCUAACUUCGUG